AUUGAACGCUGGCGGCAGGCCUAACACAUGCAAGUCGAACGAGUGGCGGACGGGUGAGUAAUGUCUGGGAAACUGCCUGAUGGAGGGGGAUAACUACUGGAAACGGUAGCUAAUACCGCAUACCAUCGGAUGUGCCCAGAUGGGAUUAGCUAGUAGGUGGGGUAAAGGCUCACCUAGGCGCCGAUCCCUAGCUGGUCUGAGAGGCUGACAAGCCACACUGAGACUGAACCACGGUCCAGACGCCAACGGGAGGCAGAAGUGGGGAAGAUGGCACAAUGGGCGCAAGCCUGAUGCAGCCAUGCCGCGUGUAGGAAGAAGGCCUUCGGGUUGUAAAGUACUUUAAGCGGGGAGGCGUUACCCGCAGGAGAAGCACCGGCUAACUCCGUGCCAGCAGCCGCGGUAAUAC
rnacentral:rRNA from 1 species